UAUUCCUGAAUGAACAGCUCAGGCCCCCUGCCACUUGUCAGUGUCACCUCAGGCUGCAGCCAGUUUCUAUAGCGACGGCACUGAUCCAGGGCUCCAGAGUAGUAACAAAGCCUGUUCCCUGCUCUCAGACACUCGCUGCUGCUGAGGCUGAGGGAGGACGAGGGCACCGUCUCCUGAAGAAACCCUGCCUGCAGCACUCAAAACAGCAUGUCCAAUGGAUCAUUCCCAUAUGAAUACAAACAUCUGCAUGAUGACUAAUGUAGUCAUGGGCCAACUUAGCGCCUCUUCACUAUUUUUACAUUUGCGUGAUCACUCAAACACCAGGAAGACCACAAUGGAGGCGCGCAUCUUAGCUUUAUCCUAUGAUCAAAUCAAUGUCUUACAGACAGCACAGUAA
rnacentral:lncRNA from 1 species